CCUGCAAAUUCCAGCAUCAGUACCUUAACUUUCACAAUUUAAUUAAAAUACUAAACAAUAUCCGUUUUGAGCAAACGACCACUCAUUGGAAAGCUUAGGGUGUCAGGAUUACAAAUAUAAUUUUUGUUUUGAGGGUUAACCAUUCAAUUGGUUCAGUUUAACAAAAGAGCGGGUAUUGGUACAUAAACAUGACUGAAACUUUCUCAAACUUGUAGGCAGCUUUUCUCCUACUAUACUUAAUGAAAUUUAACAACUCUAGUGUCUAAACUAUAGGAAAUUUUGUCUUCUUUACAUUGGAUUAAGAAUCAUUAACAUAUGACCUAUUUUCAGAGAGUUAUGCUAAUUUUACCACAGGGUCUCAGGUUUGGCAUGAAAGAGAAAGAAAGGAAUAAAGAGAGAAGGUUUAAUUCAUCUUACCUCAGUUUCUAGACAUCCAAAGCUUGAUUUUCAUGAGAAUUUCGUACAUGCAAUAGGAGGGUUUGAAGAAAAGAAAUGUGGGGGUUUUUGGUUUGAUUCUAAACAGGAGGGAAAAUGGAGAAUUUGAGCAAAAUAUUACUGGAAAUGGGUUUCUUUGAUGAUGGGUUUAUGAUUUUCAUUCAUGGAUGUGCUUGAUUUUGAGGGAUUGGUGAGGAAGGAAUUUGCAGG